UACGUAGGGGGCUAGCGUUGUCCGGAAUCAUUGGGCGUAAAGCGCGUGUAGGCGGUCCGGUAAGUCCGCUGUGAAAGUCGGGGGCUCAACCCUCGAAUGCCGGUGGAUACUGUCGGGCUAGAGUGCGGAAGAGGCGAGUGGAAUUCCUGGUGUAGCGGUGAAAUGCGCAGAUAUCAGGAGGAACACCAAUUGCGAAGGCAGCUCGCUGGGACGUUACUGACGCUGAGACGCGACAGCGUGGGGAGCAAACAGG
rnacentral:rRNA from 1 species